AGUAACAGUGGUCUGCUAUUGCCAUGUUACAGGAGAAGCUGCAGAGAUAAUUCAGUGUGUCUCGUGGUGCUAUGCAGAUGAGAUGCAACAUGGCAAGGAACAGAGGUGUCACAAACCAGAGGUGUCCGGAUCGCUGGCCAUUCCUCCUUACCAGAAGUUAUUUUGAGCAACAUUUUGAAUCCUUUUGACAAAUAUGGAAAUACUGUGAGAAUGGGAAAGCUGGAGCUAAUGCAGCAAAUCUCCAUCCUGCAAUGUGCAGAGAAGAGGCCAGAGUACUGGGACACCCCAGUGGCUGCAGAAGGGAGAGAAAGCUGGGAAACUUGAUUCUGCAUAGAGCUCAAAGUGAGAACAUGAAGAAGAAGGAAAAGGCGAUAGAUGUGGAUCUGCAAUACUCUUGCUAUGCCCUGAGAGGCAGGUGCUGCUGCCGUUCCGCCUGUUUACAGGGUAACUGCUCUGGCUCUUGGGACUGCUCCUUAAGACAUUUUCAUCCUCUACUUCUAUCUCUCCUUUCCUUCAGGGUCGUCAUUUAAGGUGGAAAACGCCUGUCGCUCAGGAAAAGAAGGCGAACUACCCCCUCUAUAGGCUUUCCCCGUUGUUGCUUUCAUGAA